rnacentral:lncRNA from 1 species
AUUGUCGUUGGGCUUAGAUGAGGUUCAUUUUACUUCUUGCUUGUUUUGUUUCAAAAGUUACUUAUAAAAGAGAAGGAAGUUGAGAAGGAAAAAGAACAAGAGGAAUGUUUUUCCACUUCCGUCUGUGUUGCCAUCUAAUCUGCAUCCCAGGAUUCUCCUGGAUACGGCCACUUGCAGCUGUUAUACACUCCUGAGAGUCCAUUGUUACCCUGGAAAUGUUUGGUUC